AAGUAGUGGUGCUGCUGCCUGGACACAAUAAGGACGUUCUUUAGUGUCCCACUCUAGCUGGAGAUUAGACUGGACUGUGUAGUGGAGAGAAGAUCAGAAGAUAAGGUGUCUCACUCUAGCUGGAGAUUAGACUGGACUGUGUAGUGGAGCGAGGUUUAGAAGAUAAGGUGUCCCACUCUAGCUGGAGAUUAGACUGGACUGUAUAGUGGAGAGAAGAUAAGGUGUCUCACUCUAGCUGGAGAUUAGACUGGACUGUAUAGUGGAGAGAAGAUAAGGUGUCUCACUCUAGCUGGAGAUUAGACUGGACUGUGUAGUGGAGAGAAGAUCAGAAGAUAAGGUGUCUCACUCUAGCUGGAGAUAAGACUGGACUGUGUAGUGGAGAGAAGAUCAGAAGAUAAGGUGUCCCACUCUAGCUGGAGAUAAGACUGGACUGUGUAGUGGAGAGAAGAUCAGAAGAUAAGGUGUCUCACUCUAGCUGGAGAUUAGACUGGACUGUGUAGUGGAGAGAAGAUCAGAAGAUAAGGUGUCUCACUCUAGCUGGAGAUUAGACUGGACUGUGUAGUGGAGAGAAGAUCAGAAGAUAAGGUGUCUCACUCUAGUUGGAGAUUAGACUGCAUUGUGUAGUGGAGAGAAGAUCAGAAGAUAAGGUGUCUCACUCUAGCUGGAGAUUAGACUGGAUUGUGUAGUGGAGAGAAGAUCAGAAGAUAAGGUGUCUCACUCUAGCUGGAGAUAAGACUGGACUGUGUAGUGGAGAGAAGAUCAGAAGAUAAGGUGUCUCACUCUAGCUGGAGAUAAGACUGGACUGUGUAGUGGAGAGAAGAUAAGGUGUCUCACUCUAGCUGGAGAUUAGACUGGACUGUGUAGUGGAGAGAAGAUCAGAAGAUAAGGUGUCCCACUCUAGCUGGAGAUAAGACUGGACUGUGUAGUGGAGAGAAGAUCAGAAGAUAAGGUGUCCCACUCUAGCUGGAGAUAAGACUGGACUGUGUAGUGGAGAGAAGAUCAGAAGAUAAGGUGUCUCACUCUAGCUGGAGAUUAGACUGGACUGUGUAGUGGAGAGAAGAUCAGAAGAUAAGGUGUCUCACUCUAGUUGGAGAUUAGACUGCAUUGUGUAUUGGAGAGAAGAUCAGAAGAUAAGGUGUCUCACUCUAGCUGGAGAUUAGACUGGAUUGUGUAGUGGAGAGAAGAUCAGAAGAUAAGGUGUCUCACUCUAGCUGGAGAUUAGACUGGACUGUGUAGUGGAGAGAAGAUCAGAAGAUAAGGUGUCCCACUCUAGCUGGAGAUAAGACUGGACUGUGUAGUGGAGAGAAGAUCAGAAGAUAAGGUGUCCCACUCUAGCUGGAGAUUAGACUGGACUGUGUAGUGGAGAGAAGAUCAGAAGAUAAGGUGUCUCACUCUAGCUGGAGAUAAGACUGGACUGUGUAGUGGAGAGAAGAUCAGAAGAUAAGGUGUCUCACUCUAGCUGGAGAUUAGACUGGACUGUGUAUUCAGUGUCGGACUGGCCCACAGGGAUACCAGGAAAACUCCCGGUGGGCCCAGGUGUCAGUGGCCCCUCAUGCUGCUAAACUUUUGGCCUAUUUCAUGGCCAUUCCCUAUUUCUAUGAGAACA